GCCCCGAGCGCAGGUUGCUGGGACAGGCUGCGGCGGCUCCGUGCGGCUCGGCCUCUGGGGCCAGCUGGUGGCGGUGGCCUAGAGAGGCUCAGCGGCUGGUGGGCAGGUGCACUGAUGCUGAAGUACUAUGAGCUUUCAGAACUUCUGGAGAGACUACAAAGUUCUGGUUGUUAUGGUACCUUUAGUCGGGCUCAUACAUUUGGGAUGGCACAGAAUCAAAAGCAGCCCUGUUUUCCAAAUGCCUAAUAAGGACGACAUUUCUGAGCCAGAUAGUCCAGUACUUGGACGUCCUCAGAAGAGUCACAUCCAAGGGAAAUAGCAGGCUUGGAAUCUUCAGAAAGAAGUAUCUUUGAAUCUGAGCUUCAUAUUGAAAGAAGAGAUGAAAAACACCAGCUGGAUUAGAAAGAACUGGCUUCUUGUAGCUGGGGUGUCUUUCAUAAGUGUCCAUCUUGGAACAUACUUUAUACAGAGGGCUGCAAAACAAUCUGUAAAAUCUCAAUCUAGAGGCAAACAAAAUGAGUAUUGAAGAAUGAAGGAAAAAUAAAUACCUGGAAUUAUUACUAUGUCAUUAAGUCAUUCCAUGCUGAUAAGCUUCAUAAACCUGGAGCUAAUUUUAUAGCCACAGUGCUGCAUAUUCAAGACUUUCAUUCCUUGAAGAAUAAUUUUUUUUCUAAAUGUCAAAACC